rnacentral:rRNA from 1 species
GGUCCGUAGGUGACCUGCGGAGGAUCAUUA